CUCAAGCAUCGGCGAGUUUGGAACCUAAGUCGCCGACAUUGCCCCAAAACUCGGGGGUUAAUGCUGAAGAAAUUGUGCCCCUUCAAGUGGUGGCACCUGAGGGGUUGACUGAUCUGGGAAAGAGGCCGACUGAUGAAUCUGAGAGUCCUAGUAAGAGAAGAAAGAGAAAACAUCUGAAACAUGCGAAGAACUCUUCUCAUGCUGUUGACGAAAGUAGUACCCCCAUUCCUCCCACUCAUGGGAUGGGGGGUAGAGGAAAAAAGCACUUCCCCUUUGC
rnacentral:lncRNA from 1 species